rfam:Felis catus isolate Cinnamon breed Abyssinian chromosome D1, whole genome shotgun sequence.
GCCUGGGUGGCUCAGUUGGUUGAGCGUCUGACUUCAGCUCAAGUCAUCAUCUUGUGGUCUGUGAGUUCGAGCCCCACGUCAGGCU